UGACGACCAUAUCACGUUGAAACCCCUACUAUCGCCGGAGUUAAGCAACGUCGAACCUGGUCAGUACCUAGAUGGGUGACCGCGUGGGAAUACUAGGUGCUGUAAG